rnacentral:rRNA from 1 species
AAACAUCUCUUUUUGUAUAUAAUUUAAAGUUUAAUCUGCUCAAUGAUUAAUUAAAUAGCUGCAGUAAUUUAACUGUACUAAGGUAGCAUAAUCAAUAGCUUUUUAAUUGAAAGCUGGAAUGAAGGAUUGAAUGAAAUAAUAAUUGUCUCAAAAUUAAUAAUAUUAGAAUUUUUUUUUUAGUUAAAAAGCUAAAAUAAUUUUAAAAGACGAGAAGACCCUAUAGAUUUUUAUAAUUUAAUUUUAUAAUAAAAAUAAAUUUAUUUUUAAUUAAUAUUUUAAAUUAUUUAAUUGGGGAAAUUAUUAAAUAUAAUAAAUUUUAAUUAAUAUAAAACAAUAAUUAUUGAAUUUAAGAUCUUAAGUAUAGAUAAAAAGAAAAAAAAUACCUUAGGGAUAACAGCGUAAUAUUUAUAGAAAGAUCAAAUUAAUAUAAGUGAUUGCGACCUCGAUGUUGAAUUAAAAUAAAAUUAUAAUGGAGAAGUUAUAAAUUUUUGGUCUGUUCGACCAUUAAAAUUUUACGUGAUCUGAGUUCA